GUUCAAGAUGCUGGGGGUACAGCAAUGAAUAAAACUAUUGCCCUCGUGGGGCUUAUAUUCCAGUGGGGAGGUGAGGGGUCAAUAAUAAGUAGUCAAGUAAAUGUAUAGUAUUAGACAGUGAUCAUUGCUAUGGAAAGAAAGAAAGCAGAGGAGGGAGUCAGGGAGUAUAUCCUGUGGCAGGAUAUAGGCUUGCUAUUAUAUAAGGACCUCUCCACCCACUGUGUGAAGAACAAACAGUAAGGGCACAAGGGUAGAAGUGGGAAGACUAGUUAGGAAGCCAUUGCAGUAACACAGGGAAGAGAUGAUAAUAGCUCGGACCAGGGUAGAGUCUAUGGAAGUGAUGAGGAAACUGAGGCUGUCUGAGGUUCAGCGAAUCCCCCAGGGUCACAAUGUGGUACUGGGAUGCUGAACAAAUAAUUGCUGAAUUGAACUGAUAGCACUGGCAUUACCCUGUGCCUGCUUUCUCCGUGUCCACCGAUCUCAGCACAAAGCCUGGCGCAGAGUGGGUGUGCACUCACCAAGCGAGCAAAACCCAGUCCAGCCUGCGGCGGGAAAAGAGGCCUCCUCGCUCCUCUCCCCGCUCCCCCAGAGCUCCCUCUCCCCAUUCAUCUCCCCUUCACACCCUUAAUAAAAGCCCUGAGAUUGAC
rnacentral:lncRNA from 1 species